AUUGAACGCUGGCGGCAUGCUUUACACAUGCAAGUCGAACGGCAGCACGGACUUCGGUCUGGUGGCGAGUGGCGAACGGGUGAGUAAUACAUCGGAACGUACCCAGAAGUGGGGGAUAACGCAGCGAAAGUUGCGCUAAUACCGCAUACGUUCUACGGAAGAAAGUGGGGGAUCUUCGGACCUCAUGCUUUUGGAGCGGCCGAUGUCUGAUUAGCUAGUUGGUGGGGUAAAGGCUCACCAAGGCGACGAUCAGUAGCUGGUCUGAGAGGACGACCAGCCACACUGGAACUGAGACACGGUCCAGACUCCUACGGGAGGCAGCAGUGGGGAAUUUUGGACAAUGGGCGCAAGCCUGAUCCAGCAAUGCCGCGUGAGUGAAGAAGGCCUUCGGGUUGUAAAGCUCUUUUGUCAGGGAAGAAACGGCUCCGGCUAAUAUCCGGGGCUAAUGACGGUACCUGAAGAAUAAGCACCGGCUAACUACGUGCCAGCAGCCGCGGUAAUACGUAGGGUGCAAGCGUUAAUCGGAAUUACUGGGCGUAAAGCGUGCGCAGGCGGUUUUGUAAGUCUGUCGUGAAAGCCCCGGGCUCAACCUGGGAAUUGCGAUGGAGACUGCAAGGCUUGAAUCUGGCAGAGGGGGGUAGAAUUCCACGUGUAGCAGUGAAAUGCGUAGAGAUGUGGAGGAACACCGAUGGCGAAGGCAGCCCCCUGGGUCAAGAUUGACGCUCAUGCACGAAAGCGUGGGGAGCAAACAGGAUUAGAUACCCUGGUAGUCCACGCCCUAAACGAUGUCUACUAGUUGUCGGGUUUUAAUUAACUUGGUAACGCAGCUAACGCGUGAAGUAGACCGC
rnacentral:rRNA from 1 species